AUAUCUCCGGCGCCCUUUUCGCCUUUAUCCGCGCCUAUAUCGCAUUCCGGCAGGUCCACGUUGCGUCUUCGGGGUCGCCGGUGGUUUCGCGAUUUUUUGGUCAUGGAGUGCCGUGUCGUGCUUCCGCUCCAGGGCGCCGGGGUCGUCGGGGCCCGUCCACGCGUUGCCGUCCCCGUGCAGCAGGCGUUCUGGAGGACGGCGGAGCGGCGGCUGCGGCGGCUUGCGGGUGCCGUGGCGCCGACGAGGUGCAGCAAGAUGUACGUCCCCGGCUUUGGAGAAGGUUCGCCGGAGAGGAAGGCGGCGAUCCAUAUGCAGAACUUCUUCAAUUACAUCGCCGUCAGGAUUGUGCUCUCACAGCUUGAGAGUUACAAUCGGGAAGCAUAUUUUGAGCUUAAGGAGUUCGUCAGCCGCACCUCCCUGAACGAUGCUGAACUUUUCUGCAAAAAGUUGAUACGUGAGUCUCCAAGGCUGAAGGGACUAGCUAUGAGGAUUCUGGAGGUCCGAUCUGCUUAUAUGAAGAGUGAUUUCGAGUGGGACAACCUGAAGGAGUUAUCAUUCAAGCAGGGCUUCACCACCGGCUCCUCCACCGGUUUCUAGUGAAGCUCUACCAAAAAGGCACGAGCAAAACAGCUCCCAUCCAAGAGCUCCGGGAAAUCCGCUCUCUAGAGCUUUUUGGUGGAGGGGAAGCUGAAAAAAUUAGCUCCGUGCCGCUUCACCCUCGGCCGCGGGGGCAACUGACCUUUUUGCCCACCAUGACCCCCAGUGGAGGAAGGCAGCGCUAGGGGCCGUGGGGCGCGAGGCGGAGUGAGGUGGCGCUGGGGGCAGCGGGUUGGUGGCGCUGGGAGCCUACGCUGUGGGGCAGCGGAUGGCGGCGCUAGGGGCUGGCGGUGGAGCGGAGGCGCUGGGGCGGCGAUAGAGAAGAGAAGCAGAGGCCUGCCACCUGCGGAUGGAUAGCGGAUGGCGUUGCGAGUGGAUAAGGCGAGUGGACGGCUUUCUUUGGGAACAAGAUGGUUGAUGAGGAUAAUACGAAACUCAUGAGGAACUAUGUCUUGGAGGUCAGCCACAUCGAAGACGAAAACUAUAACAUCAAAUGAUUUUUAUUGAGCCUUGCCAUGAUAUUCUACAUC